rnacentral:rRNA from 1 species
UACAGAGGUCCCAAGCGUUGUUCGGAUUUACUGGGCGUAAAGGGCGUGUAGGCGGUUUGUUAAGUCUGGCGUGAAAGCUCUCGGCUAAACCGGGAGAGGUCGUUGGAUACUGGCAAACUAGAGGACGGUAGAGGCGUGUGGAAUUCCGGGUGUAGUGGUGAAAUGCGUAGAGAUCCGGAGGAACACCAGUGGCGAAGGCGACACGCUGGGCCGUACCUGACGCUAAAGCGCGACAGCAUGGGGAGCAAACGGG